GGGGCCACGCCCCCGGGGAGCGGAGGCCGGCGGGCGCAGGCGAAAUUCCGCAGGGAGCGCGGUGAGGAGCUAGCGGUUGGGGUCGGGUCUCCGGGCGCGUACUCCCCCCGCCGGUGAGGGUGAACUAACGGAGGUGGGCGGGCCGGCGCGCCGGGUUAGCAGGCGUUUAUCCUGUAUGGCCGCAGCAGUCAGCGCCCUUCACCAGCACGAGCCCCGCCUGCAGAGCCCUCGGCGGCAUCCAGCAGAAGGCCUCCCGCGGGAACUGUCACUCCGCCAAAAUACUCACAGCAAGAGAGUUAAACAAGCAAAAGUCUAGAAACAAGCCAGCUGUCCAUCUACAGUGGAAAGCAUAAACAAAUUGUGAUGUGUUCACGUACUGGAGUUCUACCCUGGCGUGAAAAAUCCACGAGCCACAGCUGCAAGCAACAAUAUGGUAAAGUCUUCGUGAAAGGCAUCAGUUGGAACCUCAGAGUUUGGAUUUCUCUGCAGGUGUGCUGGGGGCCUCAGCGUCCGUGUGCCUCAGCUGCCUGGGCUCAGUCUGUCCAGGAGGGAUUUGGAAAGGACCCACGCACCGCCCAACUGCCUUGCAAAGUGGCUGCACCACGUGUGUCCCCACCAGCGGUGAGCGUUCCGGCUGCCCCACAUCCUCGCCAGCAUUUGGUGUUGUCGGUGCUCUGGAUUUUGGCCAUUCUCAGAGGUGUGUAGUGGUGUCUCAUUGCUGUUUUAAUUUGCAUUUCCCUGAUGACAUAGGAUGUGGAGCAUCCUUUCAUACAUGCUUACUUGCCAUCUGUAUAUCUUCUUUGCUGAGGUAUCUAUUAAGGUCUUUGGCCAGUUUUUUUAGUUGGGUUGUUUUCUUGAGUUUCGAGAGUUCUUUGAGUUGAGUUGAAUUUUGAGAGUUCUUUGUCUAUUUUGGAUAAUAACCCUUUAUCAAAUGUGUCUUUUGCAAAUAUUUUUUUCCACUAUGUGGCUUAUCUUUUAAUUCCCUUGAUAUUGCCUUUUGCAGAGCAGAAGUUUUUAAUUUUAAUGAAAUCCAGCUAAACAAUUAUUUCUUUCAUGGAUCGUGUCUUUGGUGUUGUAUCUAAAACAGCAUCACCGUACCCAAGAUCAUCUAGGUUUUCUCCUAUGUUAUCUGCUAGGGGGGUUGCAUUUUACACUUAGGUCUAUGAUCCAUGUUGAGUUAAUUAGGUUAGACUUUUGACAGUAUUUAUAUGAUAGAUUGCUCAAAACUAUCUGCACUCCUAAGUUUGUUGCAGCAUCACUUACAAUAGCCAAGAUAUGGGAACAACCUAUGUGUCCAUCGAAAGAUGAAUGGAUAAAGAAAAUGUGAUGUAUACAUACAAUCAAAUAUUAUUCAGCCUUAAAAAAGAAUACACGUUAUAUUCUGUUUUAUGCUACAACAUGGAUGAACCAGGAGGGCAUCACGCUCACUGAAGUAAGCCCGUCCCAGAAGGACAAAUCCUGCAUGAUUCCACUUAUCUGAGGAAUCUAAAGUAAUCAAACUCACAGAAGCAGAGGGUAGCAUGGUUGUUGCCAGGGGCUGGGGGAGGGGAGACAUGUGGAGUUGGUAAUAGGCAUAAAGUUUCCGUUGUGCAGGAUAAACAGUUUCCAGAGAUCUGUUGUACAACUUAGUGCCUCCAGUUAACAAUUCUGGUUUUUUUUUCUUGAAAAUUAGUUUUAAGAGUGUAGCUCUCAAAAAAGAGAAAAAAAAGAGUGUAGCUCUCAUGUUAAGUGUUCUUAUGACAAAGACGGUAGGGGCAUGAGGAAGUUAGCAGGUGAUGGAUAAGUUUAUUGACUGUGGUGAUGGUAUCACAGGUGAAAGCACAUGUCCAUACUAAACAAAGUGUAUACAUCAAAUACGUGUGUUUUUGUAUAUAACAGUUGUGUCUCAAUAAAGCCAUAAAUAAAAUUGAUCAGGUUACUGUGAUACACUUACGCUAGGUUAUUUUUUGAAAAGAGAUUCCUAUGCUUUAGAUAUCAGCAUACCAAGUGUUGGUAUUUGCACAGCAAGGCUGAGGUCAUAUUCUAAACAUCUAAAACCCUGGCUUAUUUCGCUAUCCUCAUGAAGGACAGCUGUAUCCUCCACGGAAUAGGAUUAUGGAGGCAACAAAGGCAAACUACUUUUCCAUAGUUCCGACAAAUACUCAGUUACAGCACCAUCAUUCUGUUCCUCUGCGUAGAAUAAGAGCAAUAGGGACAAGGCCAGGGUUAAACCCUAUUUCUUGUCCCAUUUAGGGCUCUGUUAAAGGAUAUUUUAAGGACAUCCUCUACUAUCAUAAAAGAACUAAGCAUCAGGUACCGGAAGCACAGAGGGCCCCAAACAAGAUGAACCCAAACAGACCUACAUCAAGACAUAUGACAAUUAAAAUGGCAAAAGUUAAAGAGGAGUCUAAAGGCCGCAAGAGAAAAACAAAGAGUUCAUUUCAAGGGAACCACAUAAGGGUACCUAUCUAUCAGCUGAUUUCUCUAGAGAAACAUUGCAGGCCAGGAGGGAGUGGCAAGCUAUAUUCAAAGUCCUGAAGGAGAAAAACCUGCAACAGAGGUACUCUACCCAGCAAGAUUAUUAGAACAGAAGCAGAGAGAAAGAAUUUCUCAGACAAGCAAAAACUAAAAGAAUACAGUAAUACUAAACCUACCCUAAAAGAAAUAUUGAAAUGUCUUCUCUAAAUAGAAAAGAAGCAAGAAUCUAUAAGAAAGGGAAAAUCACAAUAGGAAAAGCAAAUAUAUAAAAGAAUUGUAGAUCACUUAAAUAAGCCAGUACAUAGAUUUAAAAAAAAACAGUCAAAAAAGUUUGUGAAAGUGAUUAUAACCACAAUGAACAGCAAAAGGAUAAACAUGAAGAUGUAAAAUAGGACAUCAAAAUCAUAAAAGGUGGGCGAGGGGAGUAAGAAAAUGUAGAUUUUUUUUUAGAAUCUGUUUGAGCUGGGGGAGGAGGGAUAAAUUAGGAGCUUGGGAUUAACAGGUACACACUACUAUGUGUAAAAUAGAGAAACAACAAGGUCCUACUGUAUAGCACAGGGAACUAUAUUCAAAACCUUGUAAUAGACUAUAAUGCAAAAGAAUCUGAAAAAGAAUAUGUAUGUAUGACAGAGUCACUCUGCUGUGCACCGGAAACUAACACAACUUUGUCAAUCAACUAUACUUCAAUAAAAAAUAAAAGAAAAAUAAAAGAACUAAGCGAGGCUUCAGGAAAUGUAUACCAACGGAUUCACCAAAUAAUAAAAUAAGUUCAUCAGUUACAUAAGGUUGCUUAGUAUUAUCGAAUCAGAUGCCAGAGGCAGGCUGACAAGAACGCCUAUUUUGGUGUUGGCGUGACGAUACUUUACUGUUUCUCUUGACAGUACCUGAUGGGUAGGUUUAGCUGUGUCCUGAGGGCCCUGGGAACACAGCAGUAGUUCUGCAUCAUCGACCCGAAGGAGGACUUCCUGUUGGUUUAAUUUUAGAGACCACGUGACCAGAUCAGCUAAGAACUAUUCUGAAAUCUUUAGAUGUAAGGACUGUGUCAAACAGAGCCAUCUUAACAUAAUUAAACAUGGAAUUUGGUGUCAGGAGGCCAUUCCUCCCCACUCUGAUUUCCUCAGAGACAUUAUGAUAAAGGCAAAAGGUGCAUUAAAAGCUUUGGAUCUAUAUUGAGGUCGUAAAAUCUCGCCCAUAGACAGUUCCUGUCUGGGGAUUCAUAUGCCAGAAAUAGAUCAAUAAAUGCUGUGAAAAGUUCUACACUAUUUUCAACCAACUGCUCUAUAAAGUAUAAGUGAAUGCUCGCUAGCUGGGCGUGUUAAAUUACAGUAGCUGGGAGUAUUAAAUUACAAUACACUCAAAUAAUUUGUUUUCUAUUUAUUUUCUUGGGGAAAUUAACUGAGAAAUGAAAUGUUAGACUUGCCUCGUUUUCCGGGUAAAAUCCUGAAAAUAAGCCCUGACCGACACCAACCCCAGAUAGGUGCCCUUUCCCACCCCACAGUAGAUGCUGGAUGGCGACUCUUAUUCUUGGGCUAUCAGGGUGAGAACCUGAUAUUGUAAAACUCUAAUGGUGGGACUUUCCUGGUGGCGCAGUGGUUAAGAAUCUGCCUGCCGAUGCAGGGGACAUGGGUUCGAGCCCUGGUCCGGGAAGAUCCCACAUGCCGCGGAGCAACUGAGCCCAAGUGCCACAACUACUGAGCCUGCGCUCUAGAGCCCAUGAGCCACACUACUGAAGGCCACGUACUUAGAGCCCGUGCCACACAACAAGAGAAGCCACCGCAAUGAGAAGCCCACACACCUCAACAAAGAGUAGCCCCUGCUCGCCGCAACUAGAGGAAGCCUGCACGAAGCAACGAAGACCCAACGCAGCCAAAAACAAAUAAAUAAAUUUAUUAAAGAAACAAAAACUCUAGUGGUGGCACAAAGUUUGCAAUCAGAGAAAUGCCUUUCUCGUGGCAAAAGCCAGCUAUUCCCAACUGGCCAGAAAUAAGACAAAAGAAGCAAAUGCAUCUUGGUAUAGAUGUCCACUCUUUGAAAACCUGUAUAAACUGCUCUGAAUGACAGAACAUGGGCAGGUUUCUGUGGUCUUCAGGAAGGUGGCAGGUGGCUGGAUCAAACUCAGGCCUAAUAAGCGUCGCCAAGGUGAGGGGACCUUCGCUCCAUCUCUCCAACAGGAAGGAUCACUUUCCAGGCAACUGAAAGAUUCAUCACACAUUUCACAAAGGAGACACGAGGUUCGGUAAUGUGAGACCUUGAUUUACGAUGGUCUUUUGAUUUACUGCUGUGUCUUUUUCAACCAUGCUAUUUCAAACACGCCUCAUUUAAAAGCUCGUGUUUAGGCAGUGUUUGGGGCUAAAGAUUGACUCUAUGCUAAUAGGAAAAUUAGUCUGUCUACACAUAGUCCCAGAUCUCCCAAGCCACGGGGCCAACCUCCAACAAAAUUGCUUGCCGGGUGAUAGAUACUGGUUUUCUUCUGGGUAGUUACUAUGUCUUUGUCUUUUUUUUUUUUUUUUUUCCAAAUGCCGUUUAAAUGUUACGGAAGCAACAUAAGAAAGAUGCUUCGUAGCAGCAGUCUUGCUGGGUGAAUACAAAUGAUAAGUAUUUUUAGAGGGGCCCGUUUCUCAACAGUACGACACCACUCGUGCAGCUCUUUAUCCUUCAGGGAGCACUUGGAAAUGCCUCGCUGGAGUCAUGGGUAGCCUGCCAGGGAGAUGCAGCCAGCACUCUCCGCACUGGCUCGCUCAAGCUCUGCCACCCCCGCACCAGCAAGGUGAGGGGCGACUGCAAUUCUGUGUCUGUUGCACACCGUUCCUGCUGCCUCCUGGGAUCUCGGGGACACGAAGCGAAUUGAUAUGUUUCUGAAAGCUUAGACUAGUGCCUGGCUCAUAGCAAACACGCCCUGAAUGUGAGCCAUGCUUAUUGUGAUUGACGUGGGAAAAAUUAAAUGUCAUUACAUGCUAAAUAUCACUAGCACAAGAGUUUACUGCAAGACCACUGGAUGAUUUUUUAAAGGACCUCUUAAAAUUCUCCUGAAGAACUAAAAGUGUUGCAGUGUGGAUAACUGAAAUAAUCAAAAUGAGCCCACAAUUUCCCACGUGAACCUCGAGAUCCAAGCGACUCGGCCAGGGAUUCCCAGCUCUGAUGCUGUGAACAGUAAAAACCUCUCCACUUGCAUCAGCCAAGAAACAGGCGUUUUCUGAAGGCCUUUAUGCCAGGCUCUGAGAAAACAGAAAAGUGUGACCCAGGUCCCCGGCCUUGGGGAAGACAAGCAAGGGCUGGGGAAUUCUGAGUGAGGGGGACAUCUGGCGAAAGGGAAGGAGAGACUCAAGGUCAAUUUCAAAACAGAGGUCAUAUUUGCUUGGGACUAAAUGGGUGAGGCAGUGGCGCCACGAGCACGGGGGAAGGCGGCCCCACUAGGCAGAGGGAAGGACGAACAGGAAGCUGGGGUGUAGCUCUGGUGGCUCCGGGGACAGAGGGAGAAGGAGCCACCUGAAAUGUACGGCGGUGCUGUCUGCCCACCACCCCUGCCCCUGCCUCCAGGGAGUAAUCCAUCCUCCACUCUGGAGCGCGUCUCCUGGGGUCCUCAUGCAGUCGUCAUCCUCACGGUGGUCCAUUCUCCUGGGCACACGAGGGCUUCGGGAAACAGAAGGAAUGGAAUAGGAUCCCCACCCUCCUUUUCCCAAAG